AAACUUUUCAAAUCUGAGACAGCACUUGUGGGUGGCAUCCACUAACGACAACUUCUGAAUUCUGAAAAUCAGCUAUUUUGCAAAGUUAAUAACGAUGUGUGUUUCAAUCUGGUAAUGUACGUAAUACCGGUAGUCCUCAGACGGCUUCCCCGUUUACCCGUAUUAAUUUUUUUGCGCAUACGGUACUGUAUAUGUGCACUACACUGUUGUUUUGUGAACGGAUUUCAUACUGGAUUUUUCCCAAGAAGCCUACUUGAGGAGAAAAAUCGAAAAAGGUCGAGGUAAUUUAAAUUAUCUAAAAUAUAUAAGUAUACGUAUUUGGCCUUUUAUUGCAGUUGUUGGUAGGAAUCCGGAAUGGAAAAAGAAUUUAAUCAAAUCCAGCAUCAAGAUCGAAAGGAUUGACAUAUUUUACGAUUUACGGCUCGAGGAUCAAAUCUGAAAGUUGUGGAGUACGUUGGAAACCAGCCCCCCUUCCCCCCUGAAGCGAGUCUGAUAAAAAUAAGUCUUGCAGUCUUACUGCUACAUUUAUCGGAACUUCGGUCGCUCACCUCCUUAUCGUGGUGGUUUAAUUCGCUGCAUUCUUCGGAUCG